AUUUAAAUAGCUUAAAUCUUAAAGUUUAAUAUUGAAAAUAUUAAGAUGAUUUUCCUAAAUCUUUAAAUA
rnacentral:tRNA from 1 species